rnacentral:rRNA from 1 species
UACGUAGGGCGCAAGCGUUGUCCGGAAUUAUUGGGCGUAAAGAGCUCGUAGGCGGGCCGCCAAGUCAGGGGUGAAAUCCUCCGGCUCAACCGGAGAACAGCUUUUGAUACUGGCGGCCUCGAGGGGGGUAGGGGCAUGUGGAACUUCCGGUGGAGCGGUGAAAUGCGUAGAUAUCGGAAGGAACGCCGGUGGCGAAAGCGACGUGCUGGACCCCUUCUGACGCUGAGGCGCGAAAGCCAGGGGAGCAAACGGG